UAGGGAAUCUUCCGCAAUGGGCGAAAGCCUGACGGAGCAACGCCGCGUGAGUGAUGAAGGUCUUCGGAUCGUAAAACUCUGUUAUUAGGGAAGAACAAAUGUGUAAGUAACUAUGCACGUCUUGACGGUACCUAAUCAGAAAGCCACGGCUAACUACGUGCCAGCAGCCGCGGUAAUACGUAGGUGGCAAGCGUUAUCCGGAAUUAUUGGGCGUAAAGCGCGCGUAGGCGGUUAGAAAAGUCUGAAGUGAAAGGCAGUGGCUCAACCAUUGUAGGCUUUGGAAACUGUUUAACUUGAGUGCAGAAGGGGAGAGUGGAAUUCCAUGUGUAGCGGUGAAAUGCGUAGAUAUAUGGAGGAACACCGGUGGCGAAAGCGGCUCUCUGGUCUGUAACUGACGCUGAGGCUCGAAAGCGUGGGGAGCGAACAGG
rnacentral:rRNA from 1 species